rnacentral:lncRNA from 1 species
GGGGGCUUAGAGAUGGCGGUUCAACCUGGUGGGCUCACCGCGGGGUGCUGCUGAGGCGUUCCACCAGCGCUGUGCUGUGCAGUGCUGCGAGCCGCAGCCAUCCUCAUCCCGCUGAAAGAACCCCCGUCAUAGAAUCACAGAAUGGUUGGGUUGGAAGGGACCUCAAGGAUCACGAAGCUCCAACCCCCUGCCUGCAGGCAGGGCCACAACCUCCACAUUAAUAGCAGCCCAGGCUGCCCAGGGCCCCAUCCAACCUGGCCUUGAACACCUCCAGGGAUGGACGGGGCAUCCACAGCCUCUCUGGGCAGCUGUUCAGCACCUCACCACUCUCAUAUGAUGCAAGAAUAUUAAAAGAACCACAACAAAACCACAGAGACCCAAGGAGAUGGAGCAGCCCGAGCUCCCCAGCUGUGAGGUCUCAACAGCACUGAGGAGGCAAACUCCAACCAGAGUUGUUCCAGGUGAAAACCUUUCCUCAGACGAGUGGUGCAAAACAUGGCACAGAUUGGAGCUGCUGGCUGUCAGAAAGGUGAGGUGUAAGAGCACAACACUGUGUGAGCCUCAAUGGAGAAGAUUAACUCUGCGCCAGCAAAAACCAAAAGACAGCGGCAAUGUGUGCUUAAAACUCAUCUACAGCUUUUCAGGCCUGAAAAUGGUCUUUCUGUUCAGCCUGAGGUGGAGUUAAAUGGAGUAAAACCAUUUGGAAAAGACCUCGGGUCAGGUCUUACACCACGAGAGACUUGUGCAGAAGUGGCUGCUCCAAGGGGAGCUCUUGAUGGCACAUUGAAGAGCCAGAGUGUGAAACUUACACAGCCAUCACUUGCGUGAGCUCACUGCGCUGUGACAGCGGGUGAGCUGGACCCUCCUUCAUACAACAUCUCCAAAUGUGAGGUGGUUCAUGCGGUGAUUAGAAAUGUCAAACUGGAAGGAAUCUCUCAGGUCAUCAAAAACAUCCCCUUCGUAUCACACUGCAUUUCCAUCUCCUGUGUUUUCCGAUUUUCUUCCUUUCUAGUAUAGCUGGUUUUGCUCAAUCCUUCACCAUUACAGUACAUGCACUUCUGCAUUUACACAUUCAUGCACUUGAACUCACACAACCUCAGUGCCCAGCGUUCAGAAGUCAGAAGGCUCUGAGUCUAAAUUCACUUGGCUGUAGUGAGAUCAGCCCAAAAGAAGCACAAGCAAAAGGUAAAGUUGAGAAUGGCCUCGCCAGGACACUGGAAUACCACAUUUGCUAUCCCGUUUUGCUUGACAUAGGAACUGAAGGAUUUAAAAUUCUGAAUGGGGAUUCUUUCAGAUGAGCAGCUGAGUACCAAAGGAGAUCCCUGCAGCCUUUACAUGUAUAUAUGUAGGUAGAUGUACCUCCAGCUGCAUGUCCCAAGCUGCUCUUCCAUCUCACACAUAUCCCCACUUAACACAGCAACUGAGAUAAAGCAGAAGCUGAGAUCAGGAGAGAGGAACAGCCUCCUUUUUGUUCCUUUCUGGUGUGACAAGAUAAUUACCUUGCUUGAGCCAUGGGUGUGCUUCUUCUCUAUAUUUAGACGUUGAUUCUGCAGCAUUUCUUUCACUCACAAGUUUUGGGUUGUUUUUUUUUUUUUCUUCUCUUGCCAUUUGGCAGAGAACAAAACAAACCAGAUGAGGAUUAUUAAACUGAAAGCAGUCCGUUAAAACAGAGAUGAAAUGUCCAAAUGUAACAGGAUGGCCUCGGUACAGUUCCCUCCCAGGGCACUUACCACAGCAGACUCAUUACUCUAAAGAGCUGUAUGGAGAGCUGGAGGAAAACCAAUGUAGGAAGGCAUGGAGAGCUUAGGAAACAGGCACUCAUUGGUGAUAACCAGAUAGGAGCAAUAGCAUUUCUAGGGAUAACCUUUGAUACUUAGAUUUUGGCUUCACUGCUUCCUAACUGUGGGUUGCAUCCAUCCCUUCCGUUCCUGAGUGGGGCUAACAAAGGCUUACAGAUUUAUUUAUUCUUCUAAUAAAAAGAUACAACAACUGAUUGGUUACAUGAAGUAAAGCAGAGAAGACAAAGCUUGAGAAGCAACCUGGUGUAGUGGAAGGUGUCCCUGCCUGUAGCAGGGGGUUGGAACUGGAUGAUGCCCAAGGAGGUUGUGGCUGCUCCAUCCUUGGAGGCAGUCAAGGCCAGGCUGGAUGUGGCUCUGGACAGCCUGGUCUGCUGGUUGGCAACCCUGCACAUAGCAGGGGGUUGAAACCAGAUGAUCAUUGUGGUCCUUUCCAACCCAGGCCAUUCUGUGAUUCUAUGAUCUUAAAGGUCCCUUCCAACCCUGUGGGACUGAGAUGGUACAGUAAUAAUGAUAUAACCGAUAAAGAGUAGAACAAAACAGAUGGAAAAGCGGUGCUGACAACGUGACAUCACUGCUAACACAGACAAGCCAAUGAAAGGAGUAAUUUAAAUUGCUCAUAAAAAAUGCCUGGACUCUAAAAGUCUCUUCUUUAGGAUAACAGGUCCAUCAAAUGCUUCCUAGAGCACUAAGCCCAGUGCUUUGGUAGGGAUGCACUACGAUACUCUUUGUAGCUUCUGUUCUUUAACCUGCACUUUUUGGCUUCUUUCUUACCUGUCAGGGAUUUGUCCUUUCCUGAUCACCUCCAAGUCCUUCAGCACAUCUGUUCCAGUUUGAAGCAGUCAUUCUUGGACACGGGGGAGCAGAGGCACACACAGUAAGUUCCUCACUGCCUUGGACAAUGCACUGAUUUUCUCUCUGCUGGCAGUACACAAACUGGACUUUCAGAAUUGUUUUUCCUUCCCCGUGGCUAAAUCACACUGACAGCUUAUAAUUACAGGAUAUGAUUAAUUAGUAUGUCAAGGUCCUGCUCAUCCCAUUAGUUCCAGUUCCUGUGCACCCACUCCUGGAGCAGCAGGUUGUGUUGUCGCCCCCAGACGCCUUUGUGUGCUGUUGGGUAUCACUUUGAGUUGCAGAUUACCAAUUUUGUCUGUGAGUGUUGCUGAGAUUUCCCAAAUCUGUGUUAUCAGUUCGUUUUCUUGGGAUGUUCCUGACUUUUGGUGCUGAUGUAACUGAUCAAAACCUUUCAGAUUCAUGGCUGGACUGAGAUGCGUCAGUGGGAUCUUCCAUCCAAACUGAUUUCCUGCUUUAGGCCUAUCUGUAUUAAGACCCUUUAAACCAGUUCUUUAUUUUAUAUUCAUCUUCAUAGAAUCAUAGAAUGGCCUGGGUUGAAAAGGACCACAAUGAUCAUCUGGUUUCAACCCCCUGCUAUGUGCAGGGUCACCAACCACCAGACCAGGCUGCCCAGAGCCGCAUCCAGCCUGGCCUUGAAAAGCUUCUCAAGCUUUGCUACCAGUUUUCCACAUAGUUUCCUGUACCAUUUGUAUUACUGAAGAUACACCUUACUUCUUCUGAGCAGAAAGCCACUUACACUGGAUUUGUCUGCACAAACCUUAGGCAAGAUUGUGUUGCUUUCUCUCCCAGUAGAUUUUACUUCAAAACUUCCAGAGCCUUGCACAGAGAAUCAUAGAAUCCUUAGAGUUGGAAGGGACCUCUGGAGGCCAUCCAGUCCAACUCCCCUGCAAUGAACAGGGACACCACAGCUAGGUCAGGUUGCCCAGGGCCUGGUCCAGCCUUGCCUUGAAAGACUCCAUGGAUGGGGCAUCAAGCACAAUAUUAGUUAUCCUGUUCCAGAACCUCUCCAUCCUCACUGUAAACGACUCUCUCCUUACAUCUAACCUUGUAAUAUUUCAGUGAGAAGCAGUCCCAGGCUUCCUACGUGCUCCCAGGCACCUCAGUCCCAUUGACUGCAUUGAGCCGUUAAGUGAUUCCAGUUUUAAGAACCGUGGUUCACUACUGUUCAUGGGGGUCCCUUAAAAAAAACAAAAGGUAAAUCACUGAAAAAUCAACAUUAGCAGCACUAACGGCCAUAAAAUCAUACGCCUUUUAUUUAACAUAAAAUGAGACAUUAAGAUAAAAUACACAGUUGCUCAUGUGCUGAAGAACUACGGUAUUUUACAUUCAUUUAUAAAGCAGGUAGUUUUACAUGACAAAAAGAAGUGAGAGGAAAAGGAACGGAAUCUGCAGUAAGACAGAAGCCACGGAGCAGGCUUUUGCUUGUCCAAGUGCUACCUCCUAUGGGCACAGAUCUUCAAGUGACAGGUUAGAAACUGGCCGUUCUUAGCACUCCUCUGAUCCCUCUUAAUGCUGCUGGGAAGCUAAGGUGGAGGCUUACACAGCAAAAUGAGUGACAACGUGUUGAGGAAACACCCUUGGCCAAGAGGCACAGCUGCAGCACGACGGACCACGUCUGUCCCUGCUGUCUUGCUCCUUUGCAGGAAUGGGCCUACACAGUCUUAAAUGCCUGCAGCUUACAUUACCAAAUCCCUUUGUUUUUUUACUCACUUGCCAGAUUUGUAACUGAAAUUUGACUUGUCAAGCAGACAGCAGUAGGGUGAGGGCUCACGGCUGCACAGAUUUAGGGCACAGGAAGGGAGCUACCAUCCGUCAGUGUGGGUGGCUGCUGGAGGCGUGUACCUUGCACACCUCCAGGCACACAAUAAAGGACUGUACCCAGAACCUCUGUCCCUGCUGCUCGAGACAAUGGGACAACACCUUCCACAUCGCAGCCGCAGGUGGGCUAAGAGGACAGCCCUGCCCUGAUGCCCUGCAGCAUCUGCUAACUGAACGGUACAGGAGACCGGCUGGUAAGGUUUAAAUCAGGGUAGGGAGGAACGGGAGAUGCAGCAGUACCAGGGGAGUAAGGAAUGUUGUUUGUCAAAGUGCAGCAGAUCGAAACACGUUACUAGUAUAUAUUUUGUCUACCCCAUGUAUCUUAAAUAUGAAAACAAAUAUAAAACAACCUUAAUUCCAUCUCACGUCUGUGGUGCUUCCCAAGGUGUAAUGUCACCACAAGGCCGAGGUGGAGCUGGUCUUGCAACUUACACGUGGCCAACGCAGCCGUGCACACCUAUACGGAUGCACACACAUCUGCACAGCCCCUAUAUGCACACCCACCAGUGGGGCUUCCUGAUAGUGCAACUGCUCAGAGGGGAAGCCCCACCAAUAUGCAGACAGCAAAUUUUGACUAAAUACUGGGUUCCAUCCUCUUGUUUUCAAGAGAUCCCAAUGACAACCGAUGUGGUAUAAAAACACCAGUUGCCCACCUUUUCAGUUCUCAGAUUUGUACUUUAAAACCUGACUUGUCAAUCAUUCUUCUUUUCCCACAUUGUUUCCUUCCCCAUAACUCCCAGUGACAGAGAUUUCUUUUAAUCACCUCCAGUUUACAUACAGGAGUUGCAGGAACAAGUGAGUAUAAAUGUCACUGGAGAUUCAUCUAACCCAAAUGGGCAUUGCAGAGGUGGGACAAGACAGGGAUGCUCUGGAGCCAUUUCUACCCUUAUCUCCAUAGCAAAUUUGCGUGCAGAACUGGGGCCAGCAGCUGUGUGGGCUGCAGAUCUCCAGCCUGCAAAACACACUGCAGUGCCCUGCUUGUCCCUGCCAUAGGGGAUGCCCCAUAGAAUGAUAUCAUAGAAUCAUAGAAUGGCCUGGGUUGAAAAGGACCACAGUCAUCAUCUGGUUUCAACCCCCUGCUAUGUGCAGGGUCGCCAACCAGCAGACCAGGCCGCCCAGAGCCACAUCCAGCCUGGGUGGAUGUAUCCAUAGGGCAGUACUGUGGCCUCUCCCAUCCAGGGACAUCUUGAGGAUCCCAUUCCAAUGCAGCCAAAUGGAUUCAUUCCGCUCCCAAUAGCUGCAAGGAUGUAUCAUCCCCUACAGCGAGACUUUCACCCCAAUUCCUACAAACAGCAAGACCAAUCUGCUUUGACACUGCUCCCUUGAAAUCAUUGGACUUUUGGUAUGUUGUUUGAAUUCUCCAUCAGCACCCUAAGGUGCUCACACAAGAAAUGGAGCUACUGAUCGCCAUUCCAAUGGCACAGCAAAACCGAGUCACUUCGGAUUCUCUUUUGGUUGAGCAGCUUCUGUGCCAGUGCGUCUCUUUGGCUAUGAAGGUAGCAUUGCUUAUGGAAAGGAUCCACCUCAACUCGUCUCCUCACCGUGGGUUCUGCUGGGUGGCAAAAGGAACGGAUACCAAUGGAACACAACAGGACGCAGGACUGAAAAGGUUCUGUACGCUCCAUCUGAAGCUGCAAAACUCUUCCAGAUUCCUUCUGUGCUGAACUCCUGCUUUCCCUGCAGCCUCCCUCCUCGUGUCCUCCCUCCCUCUUUUCUUUUUUUCCCCUUUUAACAUUAUUACAUGCUCAAAUCCAACCAGCUCAAAUACUUUUUAAUACACUGAAAAUGUAAAAUAAAGAAUAUAUGAAGUACAUACAGUAUAUAUAUACAUAUUUCAAAUACUUAAAAUUCUUACGUAAAAUAUGAUUUUUUCUAUAUUAUUUGUGUAAAAAUACAUUUUAAAAUGGUGUCAACUCGAUUUUUCUGUACAUACCCUCUAUUCCAAUUUAAGUCCCUUUUAAAAAGGUAAAAGACAGACAAAGGUUCGGCAUCUUCUAGCUGUGUUUACAGGCCUGUUGUCAAAACCAGAAAAGCUCGCGGUAAACAGUACUGGAUUUCUUCUCUUUAAGAACUCCCACAUUUAUUGCAUCAAUGGACAAAACGGAAUCUUUCCAGUUCUCCUGCUAGUGAAACUCCAUGGCCUUGCUGAGGAACUGCAUGCUCUCCAUACCCUGUUCAUCUAGUCCAUAAAUCAUC